AGAGUUUGAUCCUGGCUCAGAACGAACGCUUGCAGCGUGGAUUAGGCAUGCAAGUCGAACGGGAAGCUUCGGUUUCAAUCUUCGGAGAGUUACCGAGGUGGAGAGUGGCGAAAGGGUGAGUAACGCGUGAGUAAUCUGCCUCUAAGUCCGGGAUAACCCCGCGAAAGUGGAGCUAAUACCGGAUGUGGUGUCCUGUCGCAUGGCAGGGUUACUAAAGGUGGGGAUCCUUCGGGACCUGCCGCUUGGAGAGGAGCUCGCGUCCCAUCAGCUUGUUGGUAGGGUAACGGCCUACCAAGGCAUACGGGUAGCCGGCCUGAGAGGGUGAUCGGCCACACUGGGACUGAGACACUGCCCAGACUCCUACGGGAGGCUGCAGUCGUGGAUCAUUCGCAAUGCGCGAAAGCGUGACGAUGCGACGCUGCGUGGAGGAUGACGGCCUUAGGGUUGUAAACUCCUGUCAUGAGGGAACAGCCGGCAAAGGGUUAAUACCCCUUCGCUCCGAUGGUACCUCAAGAGGAAGCCACGGCUAACUCUGUGCCAGCAGCCGCGGUAAUACAGAGGUGGCGAGCGUUGUUCGGAUUUACUGGGCGUAAAGGGUGCGUAGGUGGUUCUGUGUGUCGGAUGUGAAAGCCCGGGGCUCAACUCCGGAAUUGCAUUCGAAACUGCAGGACUAGAGUACAGGAUGGGAGAGCGGAAUUCUUGGUGUAGCGGUGAAAUGCGUUGAUAUCAAGAAGAACACCGGUGGCGAAGCGGCUCUCUGGAAUGUUACUGACACUGAGCACGAAAGCUGGGGGAGCAAACAGGAUUAGAUACCCUGGUAGUCCCAGCCGUAAACGGUGUGCACUUGGUGUUGGCGGUAUUGA
rnacentral:rRNA from 1 species